GCCACGGUGGUCUAGCGGUUAGAACGCUGGCCUUGUAAUCCUACGGGUCUCGGGUUCGAUUCCCGGCGGUGCCC
rnacentral:tRNA from 1 species